GCCCGAAUGGCGGAAUUGGUAGACGCACUAGCUUCAGGUGCUAGCGACCCUCGUGGUUAUGGAAGUUCAAGUCUUCUUUCGGGUACCA
rnacentral:tRNA from 1 species